rnacentral:rRNA from 1 species
GACGAACGCCGGCGGCGUGCUUAACACAUGCAAGUCGAACGAUGAAGCCGGAGCUUGCUCCGGUGGAUUAGUGGCGAACGGGUGAGUAACACGUGAGCAAUCUGCCCGUGACUCUGGGAUAACUGCGGGAAACUGUAGCUAAUACCGGGUACGACACCUUGGGGCAUCCCAGGGUGUGGAAAGAAUUUCGGGCAAGGAUGAGCUCGCGGCCUAUCAGCUAGUUGGUGAGGUAAUGGCUCACCAAGGCGACGACGGGUAGCCGGCCUGAGAGGGUGACCGGCCACACUGGAACUGAGACACGGUCCAGACUCCUACGGGAGGCAGCAGUGGGGAAUAUUGCACAAUGGGCGAAAGCCUGAUGCAGCAACGCCGCGUGAGGGAUGAAGGCCUUCGGGUUGUAAACCUCUUUUAGCAGGGAAGAAGCGAAAGUGACGGUACCUGCAGAAAAAGCACCGGCUAACUACGUGCCAGCAGCCGCGGUAA